CACAGAUGUGUGCUUUUGGGGUUACUCAAGGACUGGAGUUAGGAACCACUGACAUAGACUGCCCAGACUACAGCAUUGAAACCUGCAGGGGAACCACAUCUCAGUAGUACCAGAGGUGUUACCAAGGAACCUGCAACAGAAGGGGUAUUUGCAACACCAGCAGGUGUCUCUCAAACAAAAUUGUGAUGAACAGGACUUCAGGAAUCCCCCUGUCUCUGAGGGGUAGGAGACUGAAUACAUUAAUGGAUGUGUGGUCAAUCCAAAAAACGAUUCCCCCACUCACAUAUUCCUUGACACUGGGGCUGAGGACAGAGAGGAAUUGUAUGGAGUAUACGGUUUGCCACCACCAGAGCUUUGUUUCCUCAAUGUGGCUGACAAUAAGAUUGUCGAGGAAGAAGCAGUGUCUGUAGCUGUGUUCGUCCUAUGCUCAGUGAGAUUGUUAUUCACUCCAACCCACUGACCACACAGAAGUGGUGCCCCCCUACUGCUGACUUACUUCCUCCAGGAAAGGCUGGGUAUUAGAAUUAGGUAAAAAUGAAAAUUCCAAAGGUGCCUUUAUUGAUGCUCCUUGACGCUGCUGGCUCUCUGGAGGUGAAAGAUGUUGAAGAUCACACUAUACAAUAGUCAUCAGAUGACCCUUCCAAAAUGAGGAGUCAUUCUUUUGUGGUGGCUGCUGAGGGAAGAACUUUUCAUAACAGUGGCGGUCAGUGCUGUUUAUGAUGAGGGAGGAAUUUAUUAAUUUUUUUCCUUCGUGAGCAUGUCCUCUAUUACAGCGUGUUGGAUGACUGUCAUUCAUAUUGUAUUCACCCAGUUCAAUGUAACAUUGAUGGUUUAGGCUAUUACAUGAUUCUCAAAUUUUCCCUAUACCCACCAUGAUGUUGCUACAACCUAGUUUAUGUCAUUUAAGAUUAGACAGUGACACAUUCAAUACUGCCUUGCCUGCAUCGCUUAUCUAGUGUGUAAUUAUUAGUACAACAGUUACAAACAUGUUUCUAUUGGCCAAAUCCUAGUGUUUUCUUUAUUUUUAUCCUAAUUUUGUUUGCUUCCGUUUUAAGAAAUGUUUUUCAACAGAAUCGUCGGAAUGAAUAAACCCCUGAUCACAAAUAAACAAAGUUCAGCCUCA
rnacentral:lncRNA from 1 species